UGGACCCUUAAAUCUUGAAUUAGAGCCCUCUUAUUUCUAAAAACAUCUUGCAGUCAAAGGAGCCACAUGGAAUACAAAUGCAUGAUUAUUAGACCAAGUAUGUUUUGCUGGGCUUUGAUUUCCCUGUGUUUCAUAGCACAUUUUGAUGAGUCCUCGGGACAGGACAAGGUUGAACAGUCUUAUAGAGAAAGGACUGCAAAUGAAGGAGAUCAAGUAAUCUUAAAGUGUAAUUAUACUACCACUUCUAAUAAUCCAUACCUCUUCUGGUACAAACAGCUACCAAACAGAUCACCAACAUUUAUACUAAAUAAAUAUACAUUUGGUGAAGGAGCUACUGAGCCUGAUUUUAAGAAAAGAUUUUCAGCAACAUUGGACUCCACAUCAAGAUCAGUUCCUCUGACAAUCCAGGAUGUGAGUGUGUCAGACUCUGCUGUAUAUUACUGUGCUCUGAGGCCCACUGUGACUCAAACACACUCAACACUCAUACAAAAACUUAGGGAGACAAAUUACAACAGAUACAAUAAUCAGCCAUAAAGGGUAUAAACUGCAUAAAACUCACAUCACCUGUCUUUGCA